rnacentral:rRNA from 1 species
AUGGAAUAUCAGCCGAUCGUCUCUGCGCUGGACGUCCGCACCGAGCCAAUCACCGUCUACAUCCUCUUCUCCAUGGUGGCGAACUUCGACCAGCGGGUCGAGGUGUUCCACGGCAAUGACGGCGGCGCCUUCAAGUCAUCGGCAAACAUUGCUUCUCACGGCCGAGGCAACAAGGGCAACUACGGCAACCAGAAGGGCAAUGGCGGUGGCUACGGUGGCACCAGCCACGACAAUGGAGGUGAUACGUCUCCAACGUAUCUAUAA